rnacentral:lncRNA from 1 species
GGGAGCAACAGUAAUUACAAGCUUAGCUAGCGCCAUACCAGUAGUAGGAGAUACCAUAGUGACUUGGCUUUGGGGUGGUUUCUCCGUGGACAAUGCCACCUUAAAUCAUUUUUUUAGUCUCCAUCAUUUACUCCACCUUAAAUCGUUUUUUUAGUCUCCAUCAAAUAAUCCAUUGGGUGUACAUUCUGAGAUGGAUAAAAUUGCUUCUUACCCUUAUUUUUAUGUAAAGGAUCUUGUAGGUCGGGUAGCUUCUGCUAUCUUUUUUCCAUUUGGAUUUUUUUUGCUCCUAAUGUUUUGGGGCAUCCCGACAAUUAUAUGCCUGCUAAUCCGAUGCCCACCCCGCCUCAUAUUGUGCCGGAAUGGUAUUUCCUACCGAUCCAUGCCAUUCUUCGCAGUAUACCUGACAAAGCGGGAGGUGUAGCCGCAAUAGCACUAGUUUUUAUAUCUCUCUUGGCUUUACCUUUUUUUAAAGAAAUGUAUGUGCGUAGUUCAAGUUUUCGACCGAUUCACCAAGGAAUAUUUUGGUUGCUUUUGGCGGAUUGCUUACUACUAGGUUGGAUCGGAUGUCAACCUGUGGAGGCACCAUUUGUUACUAUUAGACAAAUUCCUUCUGUCUUUUUCUUCUUGUUCUUUGCCAUAACGCCCAUUCCAGGACGAGUUGGAAGAGGAAUUCCAAAAUAUUACACGGAUGAGACUCAUCGCACCGGAUCCUUUUCUCCUUUUGGCCAUAGCCAUAUAAUGAACAGGACUAUUUCUCCUUUUGGCCAUAGCCAUAGAAGAAGCUUCUCCUCC